GACGUAGGGCGCGAGCGUUGUCCGGAUUUAUUGGGCGUAAAGAGCUCGUAGGCGGUUUGUCGCGUCUGCUGUGAAAACUGGAGGCUCAACCUCCAGCCUGCAGUGGGUACGGGCAGACUAGAGUGCGGUAGGGGGAGAUUGGAAUUCCUGGUGUAGCGGUGGAAUGCGCAGAUAUCAGGAGGAACACCGAUGGCGAAGGCAGAUCUCUGGGCCGUAACUGACGCUGAGGAGCGAAAGCAUGGGGAGCGAACAGG
rnacentral:rRNA from 1 species